GACGAACGCUGCGGCGUGCCUAAUACAUGCAAGUGGGACGCAAGGGAACACACUGUGCUUGCACACCGUGUUUUCUUGAGUCGCGAACGGGUGAGUAACGCGUAGGUAACCUGCCUAUUAGCGGGGGAUAACUAUUGGAAACGAUAGCUAAUACCGCAUAAUAUUAAUUAUUGCAUGAUAAUUGAUUGAAAGAUGCAAGCGCAUCACUAGUAGAUGGACCUGCGUUGUAUUAGCUAGUUGGUAAGGUAAGAGCUUACCAAGGCGACGAUACAUAGCCGACCUGAGAGGGUGAUCGGCCACACUGGGACUGAGACACGGCCCAGACUCCUACGGGAGGCAGCAGUAGGGAAUCUUCGGCAAUGGACGAAAGUCUGACCGAGCAACGCCGCGUGAGUGAAGAAGGUUUUCGGAUCGUAAAGCUCUGUUGUAAGUCAAGAACGUGUGUGAGAGUGGAAAGUUCACACAGUGACGGUAGCUUCCAGAAA
rnacentral:rRNA from 1 species